AGUAAUGCGUCGACCAACCUCGCCCCAUGCUCCAGAAUAGCUCUUGGAAACGGGUGGUAAUGCUGGAUGCUCCAACUUNGACGCAUGUCUUGUUGGGAAAGUGUUUAGUGGCAUGGGAUGGGGUCGCGUCCUAUCAGCUUGUAGGCGGGGUAAUGGCCCACCUAGGCUUCGACGGGUAGCCGGCCUGAGAGGGCGGACGGCCACAUUGGGACUGAGAUACGGCCCAGACUCCUACGGGAGGCAGCAGCC
rnacentral:rRNA from 1 species